AUGGCACGGGUCCUCCUCCUCUUGCUGGCCGCCUCGCUCGUUGCGCUGGCGUCGUCCAAAGGUCUUCCGGUGCUCGCUCCGGUCACCAAGGACACCGCCACUUCCCUCUACACAAUCCCCUUCCACGACGGCGCCAGCCUCGUCCUCGACGUCGCCGGCCCGCUCGUCUGGUCCACGUGCGACGGCGGCCAGCCGCCGGCGGAGAUCCCGUGCAGCAGCCCCACCUGCCUCCUCGCCAACGCCUACCCCGCCCCGGGCUGCCCCGCGCCCAGCUGCGGCAGCGACAAGCACGACAAGCCGUGCACGGCGUACCCGUACAACCCGGUCACCGGCGCGUGCGCCGCCGGGAGCCUCUUCCACACCAGGUUCGCAGCCAACACCACCGACGGGAGCAAGCCGGUGAGCAAGGUGAAUGUCGGGGUCCUGGCGGCGUGCCCGCCGAGCAAGCUGCUGGCGUCGCUGCCCCGGGGCUCCACGGGCGUUGCCGGGCUCGCGGACUCCGGCCUGGCGCUGCCGGCGCAGGUGGCGUCUGCGCAGAAGGUCGCCAACAGGUUCCUCCUCUGCCUCCCCACCGGCGGCCCUGGCGUGGCCAUCUUUGGCGGCGGCCCGGUCCCGUGGCCGCAAUUCACGCAGUCGAUGCCGUACACGCCGCUCGUUACCAAGGGCGGCAGCCCCGCACACUACAUCUCGGCCAGGUUCAUCGAAGUGGGGGACACCCGCGUCCCCGUAUCGGAGGGCGCGCUCGCCACCGGCGGCGUGAUGCUCAGCACGAGGCUGCCCUACGCCGUGCUCCGCCGCGACGUGUACCGCCCGUUGGUGGACGCGUUCACCAAGGCCCUGGCGGCGCAGCAUGCCAACGGAGCGCCCGUGGCGCGCGCAGCGGAGCCUGUGGCGCCGUUCGGGGUGUGCUACGACACGAAGACGCUGGGCAACAACCUCGGCGGGUACUCGGUGCCCAACGUCCAGCUGGGGCUCGAUGGCGGGAGUGACACCUGGACGAUGACCGGGAAGAACUCGAUGGUGGACGUCAAGCCGGGGACGGCGUGCGUUGCGUUCGUGGAGAUGAAGGGGGUGGAGGCCGGCGACGGCAGGGCGCCGGCGGUGAUCCUCGGAGGGGCCCAGAUGGAGGACUUCGUGCUCGACUUCGACAUGGAGAAGAAGCGGCUCGGUUUUAGCAGGCUGCCGCACUUUACGGGCUGCGGCGGCCUGUAA
rnacentral:rRNA from 1 species